CCUACGGGAGGCAGCAGUGGGGAAUAUUGGACAAUGGGGGCAACCCUGAUCCAGCCAUGCCGCGUGUGUGAAGAAGGCCCUCGGGUUGUAAAGCACUUUCAGUGAGGAAGAACGCCUGGUGGUUAAUACCCAUCAGGAAAGACAUCACUCACAGAAGAAGCACCGGCUAACUCCGUGCCAGCAGCCGCGGUAAUACGGAGGGUGCUAGCGUUAAUCGGAAUUACUGGGCGUAAAGCGCGCGUAGGUGGCUUGAUAAGCUGGUUGUGAAAGCCCCGGGCUCAACCUGGGAACGGCAUCCGGAACUGUCAAGCUAGAGUGCAGGAGAGGAAGGUAGAAUUCCCGGUGUAGCGGUGAAAUGCGUAGAGAUCGGGAGGAAUACCAGUGGCGAAGGCGGCCUUCUGGACUGAAACUGACACUGAGGUGCGAAAGCGUGGGUAGCAAACAGGAUUAGAUACCCCGGUAGUC
rnacentral:rRNA from 1 species